UACGAAGGGGGCUAGCGUUACUCGGAUUGACUGGGCGUAAAGGGCGCGUAGGCGGUUUGUACAGUCAGACGUGAAAUUCCUGGGCUCAACCUGGGGGCUGCGUUUGAUACGUGCGGACUUGAGUUCGGAAGAGGGUCGUGGAAUUCCCAGUGUAGAGGUGAAAAUUCGUAGAUAUUGGGAAGGAAACACCGGUGGCGAAGGCGGCGACCUGGUCCGAUACUGACGCUGAGGCGCGAAAGCGUGGGGAGCAAACAGG
rnacentral:rRNA from 1 species